CUUGGCUGCAGCCUUCUCCAGAUUGCGUCCACGUCUCUUCCCUAGCAUGCGGGCACUUCGGCGGGCCAUACGAGCGGCAGGCUAGCUUCCGCCGCCGCUCGCCAUCUGCUUGAAGCCCGCGGACAGGAGCACUAUAAGCUGCGGUUUUGGCGUCUCCCACGCGUGCGAGUCGUAGACAUGCACGGCAACCGACCGAAGAUGAAACGUGGCACAGACGUCGGCCGUCUCCCAUCAGCGCUGAAGGAGCCGUCAGGUUUUUCCCAGGAAAGCACAGCGACGCAUGGAUGGCCAGCCUGCGCCGCUGUUAGUCAGCGGAAAAUACCGGGAUGGACUGGUCCCCAUACUCCCUCAAUCCCCCCGUCCACUCGCCGUGAGGGAGAACACAUCAGACAUCAGAUGGGAC